rnacentral:rRNA from 1 species
UACGUAGGCAGCAAGCGUUGUUCGGAAUUACUGGGCGUAAAGAGUGUGUAGGCGGUGCUCUAAGUCUGUUGUGAAAUCUCCCGGCUUAACUGGGAGGGUGCGGCGGAGACUGGAGUGCUAGAGUGUGGGAGAGGUAAGCGGAAUUCCUGGUGUAGCGGUGAAAUGCGCAGAUAUCAGGAGGAACACCGAUGGCGAAGGCAGGUCUCUGGGCCGAUACUGACGCUGAGGAGCGAAAGCGUGGGGAGCGAACAGG